AUGCAGGUACUGUUACAAUACAACUGACAUGUUGUACUGUCGUUCCCCCUGCUUAAAGCACUUGAUGCUCUACCUCCAUUCCGUAGUAAGACAGAGACGCUUGGCUUCAAACAU
rnacentral:snoRNA from 1 species